GGGUACACAUCAGUCAGUAUUAAGAAGAUGUCUUUUCCAGCAACACGGAUACUAAGUAUUGUAGGUCACAUGACUGGGGAGGUAAGUCUGUGGUUGCACAUGAGACCAUGAAAUAUGAUCCAGUUUUCUCCAGCCACACUGAUACUGGCAAGUGUAAGUUAUUCAGACAGGGGAGGUAAGUAAGUCUGUGGUUGCACAUCAGUCAACAUCAGGAAGAUCCAGUCUUCUUCAG